AAUUGAAGAUACACAGAAUUCUGAUAUUUUCUUAAUUUUACCAGAAAGUAUCAGUGGAGAAUUUUCAUACAACUUUGUCAUGGUUUCACUUGGCUAACAGUAACUGUCUAAUUCCAUUAUAAAAUUUUUCUCAAUAUUAAGAGGUUAAUAUUGUAAAGAAAAUGUGUCUUAAAAGCAGUAAAAUAAAAUACGUUCUCUGUCUUUCUCAAUCAGAAAAUAGAGAUGCCAGCUCUUAUCCUGGAUGAUCUCUGAAUUCUGUGUGUAGGUACCCAGAACUUCCCCUUUGUUGCUAAUUACUUUUCACAAUAUAGCAAAAUUCUUAAACCCCCUUAAAUAUACUUUUAAAGCAAAAGUACUUCUAAGAAUAGUAUGAGGUUGGAGUGUGAUGAAACCAAUGGGAUUAUCAUUUCUCUAUAAACCUUUGAUUUACAAAUAACUAAAACAUUGAAAUAUCUCCUAGAAACCGAAGUCACAUUCACUUAAAUGUUGCUAUUUAGGCGAGAGAUGUGCAGAGUUUUCCUAAACAACCUGAAGAUAAAUAAGACUUUGUGGGCCCCAUGGUUUUUGUCAAAACUACUUAACCCUGUUACUAUAGUAAGAACUGUCCAUAGACAGUUUGAAAAAGAAUAAGCUUGACUAUGUUCCAGUACAUGUACAGAAUAGGCAACUGGCCAGAUAGUUUUGUGGUUUGGUGACCCCUGACUUAGACCCCUAUUUCAGAAUAUCUCAGGUAAAUGAUACUGGCUUUUAGAGGCUCAUACUCGUUUGAAUGAUAUCAUUGCAGAAUCUACUAUGGUGGUGUAAAAAGAAGUAAAACAAAGAGACCAUAGGAAUAAGCAGGCAUUAAUGGGUAAAGGAAGUUUGGGGAUUAUUUUAAGAUUUAUUUUAAGAUUAAAAGAGUAUUCUCUAGAACAGAUUUUGGUGCCCUAGCAUUGGAAUAAAUUCACUGGAAGUACUCUGUAAUGGUUUAUUUUUAGAUCAAGUCACUGUUUGACAUCUGAAGGAAUGUUCUAGUAGUUUGUCCUACAUCUCAUUAUUUUCCUGCAAUUGCUUGAGUGUGAGUUUUCUAGUGCCAUUGUUAGAUAAGCAGAUUAAGGAAAAAUGGACUUGCGCUUGUAGUGUUUUAAUGCCAGUAAAGAACUCUAGCAGACAAUUAGAAAUGCUAGCUUGAAUUUUGACAGAGUGGUCAGUCUUAGGUGAUCUUCUGUUCCAGUCCCCUUGUGCCAUUAGAGAAAUAGGCAUGGAAGAGUUAAUGAGGUCACUUAGCUAGUUAUUGGCAGUAGAGCAUUUAAGAGGCUGGGUCCUUUGAUUUACCUAUUCCUUCUGUUCACCAGGCUUGCUCUAUGGUGUUAAUUAAAAAGUGAAACAUGCCAUACUGCCAUACAGACUGUUCAUAAUGCUGAUAAAUCUUGUAGUUCAUUGAUGAAUGCUCAACCAUUCAUUAUAUUGCUUAGCACCUGUUUGUAAUCACUGAAAGCACAUUAUUACUUUUGUGUGGAUUUAGUCAUGCAUUAUAGUAGACUAAUUUUAAUUGUUUACUGAAGUGCCUCCGGGAUAAUAUCAUCUUGCUCUAUACUGCUCUGUGAAGCAUAAUCUCUGGAUCUGUGGUUAAUUCUGGUAUUUUAGAAUUUGAUUUUUACUUAGUUUGGCAGAACCCAAUUUAAAAUAAUAAUAUUUAAUAAUAAUAAUAAUAAUAAUAAUAGAACUUAACAUUCUAAUAGGGCUCAUCUUGUUUUUCCCCAUUUCUGUAUCUUACUGGCUAAUGUCUACUAUAUUGUGAACUAUAUAGUUUCAUAGACAAGGUCUGUCCAGAAGGCAUCCAGCCAUAUAAUAU